AACAGGAAUCUAGGAAACUUCACCUGCACUGUCCAGUAUCCAGGUGGAAAUGUUAAAAACGGUUGAUUGUGAUUCCGCCGGAUUCAAAAGGAUACACAGGAUCCCCGAUCAAGACUGAAUCCUGUACAUUGUUCCUCUACAAGAGGACCUUGAUCUUCAUCCAGUCCCUGCACAUUCCAGAGUAUUCGAAGAAAUGCCAAAACCAACAUGUCAAAUGUGCAACCAAAACAUGCCACUACAGAUGCUGGCUCUUCAUAUCCAGGUUUGUGAGAAGGGAUGUGGAUCUGAGAAAGAAAAUGUAUCUGAGGAAGGAAAGGUGUAAUAAUAAUGUAUUUUUAGUUCUUAACAGAGUAUGUAGUGAAUGAACAUAUAUGCGUAAGUGAUCUAUAACCGUUACAAAUCAUGAUGAACACAACCCAAGAUUUUGUUUGGAUGGGGUGAAGGUGGGUAUUAGGCUGUGGAAUGUAUCAUCUGAUCAAUGUUUUCAAGGCUGCAUUAAUGUUGUUUUUAUCAGUCUCUGUAAUAGAUAAAAGUACAAGUAGAAAAUUAUGUGAGGGGAACUCUGAUAAAGCAUUUCAUUUUACAGUGUAGCAGAGACUUUUCUUUCCCUGCUUUAAUUUAAUCUUCACACUAAAUGUUUUAUUCUGCUGCUGUUUGGGUUUUGAAUUGUGGAUUUGUUGUCCAGGAACAGACUGAAGUUGAAUUCAUCUCUGAAAUAAAGUGAGUAGAGAUGGAGCCAGAAACGUAUGCUAAUGUGGUACCUUAAACCAGCAAUAUUUGUAAAAGUCAGCUUUUUUUUUAACACUUUUUGCUUUACAUAUUUGAAAAUGACAAAUGUACACAUUACCCUGCAUGGAUAUACACCAAUCAGACAACAUUAUGACCACCUACCUAAUAUUGUGUAGGUCCCCUUUUGCCCGUCAAAACAGCCCUGACCCAUAGAGGCAUGGAUUCCACCCGACCUCUGAAGGUGUGCUGUGGUAUCUGGAACCAAGACAUUAGGUCUUUACACAAACCUGGGGCUUUGUAGGACCUUCAGAUUCUUGUUUGUCGCGGGGAAACAUUCCUGUCAGGGGAACUGAUCAGUGUGACUGAAUGAAAACUUCCAAAUUCACACCUUCUGAGUAAUCCUGUUGCACAAUUUGUUUAACGCUAUGAAAAAACACACUUCACCAACAGCAUCUGAGCUCUGCUAAAUCAGCUGAUGUACCAUCAAUGAGAACGUGCCAAAUGACUUGCAAUUACAGCCUGUAAAUCAGCUCUUUAACAUCAUGUAUGGAUUUGGUCUCAGACUGAACCCAUGUCAGGACUGAGUCCCUGAGGUUUCCUGUGAAGCAGCGGGCCCUUUGGAAGAGCAACAUGAGUGUCUUCACCUGCAUGUCUUCUGUCAUGAAGUUCAAGGGUAUUAAUAGUUAAUAGGACGUCUGUGGGGAACUAAUAGUCUCUGUAACCCCCCAGUAAAACAUUUCUGUAAUCCCCCAGUAAAACAUUACUGUAAACCCCCAAUUAAGCAUUUCUGUAACCCCCCAGUAUAGCAUUUCUGUAAUCCUCCAAUAAAGCAUUUCUGUAAACCCCCAGUAAAACAUUUCUGUAAUCCCCCAGUAAAACAUUACUGUAAACCCCCA